GAUGAACGCUGGCGGCGUGCCUAAUACAUGCAAGUCGAACGAAUCUUCUUCGGAAGAUGAGUGGCGAACGGGUGAGUAAUACAUAGGUAACCUGCCCCUGUGCGGGGGAUAACAGGAGGAAACUCCUGCUAAUACCGCAUAGCAAUGAGCACCGCAAGGAGCUCAUGCCAAAUAUCCUAUCGGGGCUAGCGCAGGGAUGGACCCGGGGCGCAAUAGCUGGUUGGCGGGGCAACGGCCAACCAAGGCAACGAUGCGUAGCCGGCCUGAGAGGGCGGACGGCCACAUUGGGACUGAGACACGGCCCAGACUCCUACGGGAGGCAGCAGUAGGGAAUUUUCGGCAAUGGGGGAAACCCUGACCGAGCAACGCCGCGUGAGCGAAGAAGGCCUUCGGGUCGUAAAGCUCUGUUGUAAAGGAAGAACGGCGCAUACAGGAAAUGGUAUGCGAGUGACGGUACUUUACCAGAAAGCCACGGCUAACUACGUGCCAGCCGCCGCGGUAA
rnacentral:rRNA from 1 species